CUCUCCUGGUUCACUGGCUGCGCGGCACAGACAGAUGCUGACUGGAGUUUGACUUGGCCUGGCUCACCGUAGCAGCACGUGCUUGACAAGGCUCUCUCCCCUCAAAGGUGGCCUUGGGCUUUUGGCCCAGAACUCUCUCCACUUCAAGAAGAAGAAAGUGCUAACUACAUGGAAGGCAUAGGACAGAAGACAGCACCUGUGCUGUGCCAAGGACUCUAAGAGAUGGAAGAUGAUGGCAUGGAGGAAUGGGGCCAUGGGCUCAGCAAAGCUAUGGCUGGGCAGCCACAGGAUGGCAGCAGCAUGAUGAGAAGCCAGAAGAAGCUACAUUCCUCUAGCCCUGCCACUGACCCCAAGAAAUGCCACAAAGGCCCCAUGUAAAAGUGGAGGGAGAGACUGAACACAAGCCCCAGAAAAGAAAAAAGGAGAACCAGGCAUGGACAAAUUACAAAUUGUGUCCAGAAG